UACGGAGGGGGCUAGCGUUGUUCGGAAUUACUGGGCGUAAAGCGCGCGUAGGCGGAUCACUAAGUCAGGGGUGAAAUCCCGAGGCUUAACCUCGGAACUGCCUUUGAUACUGAUGAUCUGGAGAUCGGGAGAGGUUGGUGGAAUUCCGAGUGUAGAGGUGAAAUUCGUAGAUAUUCGGAGGAACACCAGAAGCGAAGGCGGCCAACUGGCCCGAUACUGACGCUGAGGCGCGAAAGCGUGGGGAGCAAACAGG
rnacentral:rRNA from 1 species